rnacentral:pre_miRNA from 1 species
AUUAUACUCCCUCCGUUGCACAAUACAUGCCUUCUAUUUGUCAAAAUAUAUGUGUAUCUAGACAUGUUUUAGUAUAUAGGCACAUCCAUUUUUGGACAAAUGGAAGUCAAGUAUUUUGGAACGGAGGGAGUACACA